GGAGAAGUGCCAGAGUGGCUGAACGGGCUCGCUUGGAAAGCGUGUUAACGCGAAAGCGUUACGAGGGUUCGAAUCCCUCUUUCUCCA
rnacentral:tRNA from 1 species